GUGCCAGCCGCCGCGGUAAUACGUAGGUCCCGAGCGUUAUCCGGAUUUAUUGGGCGUAAAGCGAGCGCAGGCGGUUAGAUAAGUCUGAAGUUAAAGGCUGUGGCUUAACCAUAGUACGCUUUGGAAACUGUUUAACUUGAGUGCAGAAGGGGAGAGUGGAAUUCCAUGUGUAGCGGUGAAACGCGUAGAUAUAUGGAGGAACACCGGUGGCGAAAGCGGCUCUCUGGUCUGUAACUGACGCUGAGGCUCGAAAGCGUGGGGAGCAAAC
rnacentral:rRNA from 1 species